GUCACUUUGAUAAAGACAUUAGAAAUGUCUUUUUUUAAAGACGUUACACAUGUUAUAUUAUUAUUGGACGAAUUAUUAAACUGGUCAAUUAAAUAUUUUUAAUAAACCAGAAUAAAAUCUGUUUAUUAUAACUAUUAGAUCCGAUUCAAUUCGAUUGGUUUACAUAAUUUGAACCGAAUUAUAUUUAAAUUUUUUUUUAUCAAAUUAACAAAUAUAUCUUUAAAUUUUUAUUUUUUAGACAUUUAGAUUCAUAAAAAUUUAAAAUUACAAUUAAGUCUUUAAAAAAUAAAAUCUAACCCUAGAUCCUUGCUAACCCAAACCCAAGCCAAGCUAAGCCCAAUCUCAAUGUCUCACUAAUCUCUCAAUCUGACCCCAAAAAAGCCCCAGCUCUCAGCAAUCAGCAUCUCCUUCAUCUCAUCUCUAUGCUCACUAGCUCUCGCGAUCUCAAGCUUUUUCCCUCUCUCGUCUCUGGUCUCGCACUCAAAGUUUUUGUCGUUCUUCGUGUCACCAGUCGUCACCAUCUCGCACUCAGUCACGCUCGCAUGCCUUCCCUGAGCUCGUUGUCGCCGGCGGCAGAAGAACCCAGUCUCAGGACUAGUCGUCAUCGUCGCUCCAUGGCUCCUCAUCGUCUCGCACUUAGUCGUGUGCCUUCUCGCGCUCGUCGUUGCCGGCGGCAGAAGUAGCCGGUCCCGAGAAUUCAAGGCCUGCUAUUCCUUCCGAUUGCCCACCUGCAAUGUGCGCUUUAAUCGAGCAAUGUUGGCCCGUGCAUUCGGACAAGAGGCCUGAGUUACUGGCAGCAGUGACAAAAGGGUACACAUUUAUGGUAUUCCAGAAGCAAGAAUGAGUGGAAUAUGUCUGGCUAUUCCUAACAAAGAUACGGCUCCGGACACUAUGGUAGUCCCUGGACAGCUUUCCAGUGAUGAGUCAUCAUCAAGAUGCUAACAUGGCCUUAUUUUGCCACGCUGAAUGGUGUCAACGGCUAGUUGAGCUAGCAUAGUUUCAAUUUAUACUCAAUGUGGUCCCUCCCUCUAUAUUUAACCCUAAAUUCCCAAAUGUUCAGUAAGUUAAUUUCUUCUUCUUCUUCAUCGUUCUCUUCCCAUUCUUGUUGUUGCUAUUGUUCCUGGAGCUGGAAGCGAAUAUCCAUGAUGGGUGGUGGGAGCACUAGAGUUGGAAGCUUUAUUAGUUCACCGUCCAGUGGCCAUCAGACGAGAAUGUAAAGUAGGAGCAGAAGAUCUGGGCUGCCAGAAUGGUGUGGUUGCGGCUGCCGGCUAGUUCUCAGGUGGUCUAGGAUAGAUUUAAACCUAAAUAAACCAUUUUUGGUUGUCCUAAUUAUAAUGUGAGUUAUCAGUAUUACUUGUGUUAUGAUUGCUCCUACCUACCUCACUGUUCUUCUCUUGUUCUUCUUUCCUGAAGCUUGAGCAUGUUAUAUGUUUGCUUGAUUAUAGACAAGUGGAAAGAGAUGAUGUAGACUUUUUACAUGGGCAGACAUUGGGCAGGAUGAACCAAUUGAGAAACCAGAAUCUUAUGGAGACAAUCAUGAAGUGAAGAUGAACUUUGAUUAGAGGCUUGGGAGAUUAGAAGAACAUGUUCGGAAUCAAAAAUUGGUUAACUAAUUGUUGGUAUUAGCUGUGUCUGUAUUGAUAGUGUUAAUGGUUAUCCUAUAUUGUAAAGCAUGAGUUAAAAGAGUUGGUGGUGUGUACCCUGUAUUCAUUGAAUGAAUAAUAUGUAAAAAAAUGAUAACAUGAUUAUAGUAUUAGAAACUGAUGAAUGGUGUUUGUUGAUGGAAUGUAAACUUGGGUAACUCAAUUAAUGAAAAUAGUAAUAUGCUAAAGAAGGCAGCGUAAGUGAUUGAAAACCAGCAAGCGCUGUACUAAGAUAAUGGUUCAAACUUAAAAGAUAAGUGUAUUAAGAUAAUAGUUCAACUUAACACAGUCAGUCACAUAACACAAAGGGCAGCUAACUAACAUGAGCAUGUUAAACAAAGUUACCUCAAAAGAGAGGGCUUUAUAGCAAAACAUAAAGGAUUGUUUUUUUCUUGUGUAGUCUUUGUUUAGUGAAAAGUUUUAAACUCAAAACAGAAAGCCCUAUACAUAUUAAGCUAAAGUCUUCAAUUCUUCUUUCUUGGAGCCUUAAAUCUUGGAGUUGCGAUGAACUUCAUGUAAUUGACAAGUCUUGUUGCAGUUCCUGAACUAGCACCCUGCAUGGGAUUCACUGGGACAGAGGUUGCUAGUGAAGAGGAUAUUCUCCUUGGUGAUAAUUUUAAAGGCCUUUUUAUUCCAUAAUCCUAGAUGAAAAAAAUUUACAUUACACAUAAAGGAUGAUUCACUUGAAUCACAAAAAAAUUUAAGAAAUAUAAAUAGGAAGUUACCUUUUGAGAAUAUUCUACAUCAGAAGCAGUUGGCUGAGAUAUAUCUAUCUCUACAGGUUGUACAUCAGAAGUGGUUGGUGCAAUCUCAAUAGACUGCACAAGAGGAUUGUCUUCUCCAUCACAUUGGUCACCAUCAUCUUGAGGCUGCUGAAGUUGCUGCUCAGAUGCAGGCGCACCUCCUUCAUUUUUCUUCUUCUUAUCAGCCUUAGCAACAGCAGCAGUAACUGCAACAGCUACAGCAGCUGCAGUAGUAUCACAAGCUUUCUUCUUCAUGCAACCUUUCUUUGUAUGUCCUUUAUCACCACAGAAACUAUAAGUAAAAGGGUCCAACUGCCUCUUUAGAUGAACAUUAUCUUCAUUGUUACUCUAAGGCUUGGGAUCAACUUUAGAGUUUUUAGAUCCUCCACCACCCUUCUCAUCAGCAUCCAUCCUUCUCUUCAUCUGUAGUUUUUCAGGUUUCUUCUUUAUUUUUGGUGCACGUGGCCUGUUACAUUCUUCUGCAUGCUCGCAUAAUGGUUGUCCAGGAAUUGGAUUAAUAUGAUGAUUAUAUAUUUUUCUGUAUGACUCCAUCAUUAGCAAGCGGUGACAAAAGUCUUUUGGUGGCUUGUUAACUCAAGGCAGUGCAACACAUGCAUGCACACAAGGAAUACCUGCAUAUGAACAACAGCCAUAGCAACCAUGGGUUUUACUCAUAUACCAUUAAUCAGAUUAUUAAUAUAGCACAAAAACAAGUAUUAUAAUAAUGCAAAUAACCUGUAAGCAUCCAAAAUUGGCAAGUACAUAAUCUUUUUCCUAAGUCCACCACAUGAUUAGUUGGGUGUCCAUGCACCUCAAACUUUUCGUAUCCGUUGUGCCCUGUCCAAAUAGGCUUCCAAUUCUUAGAUUCUUUUCUAACUUUCUCCAAUCGACUCUUUAUAACCGGUGUGAGCACUCCAAUGUGAUUGUUUAGUUUCACCUUGUUCUUGACUAUGGUCUGCAUUACGAACAUUCGAACCACCUCCACUUCUUUGUCACUAACUUCUUGUACAAAUGCAUCAUCCUCAACCAGAAUCUUCUCCUUUCCUUUAGCUAGAGGACCAACAUUCUUCACCCUACUCCUACUCCCACUGUUGACAUUCUUCACCCCAGUAUUUGAUUCAAAAGAGCUGUCUUCAUUAAGAUUUGGCUUAAAAAGACUAUCUUCUACGCUCUCAUAAGAGUCAGAAGACACCUCGAAAGGAAUCUCAAUAUUAAAAACUUUGCUUUGGAAUCCUCUAGUAGCAGACCUUGUACAAGGUCUCCUAGAUAUACUACUUUUGUUGGGCUGUUUGGACUUGUUGGUUUUAUCUGUUUUGGUGUUUUGGGUGGUCUUGAUAGGCUUGGUAGGCUGAAUGCUACUAGUGGGUUUGAAUGUCCCAUUUUGUUAAAAAUGUCGUAUUUAUAGUAUUGCAGCAAAAAUAUUUAUAGUAUUGUCUACAUUACAAGUCAUUGCACUCACUCAUAUAAUAGACAUCAAUAGAUAAGAGUUUUAUCAAACAGAACACUCAUGACCAUGAAACAGAGCAUGAUUUUCAACUUUUUUUUCAGUAAGUAAACCUUCCACUAGUUAACACUUAUUGUUACCCUAAACCCAAAUCAAUCAAAUGUAAACUUGCUAAACCUUUGUUAACGAUGAAUGCUGUCUGCCCAAAGAAGAGACAAUAACACAACACCAUAAUCAAACAGAGCAUCUCAUGAAAUCCCAACCUAAUCAAACUCUAGAACUAUAGUAACAGAAAAAAAAAACAUAACAC